ACCCGCUGAACUUAAGCAUAUCAAUAAGCGGAGGAAAAGAAACCAACAGGGAUUGCCUCAGUAACGGCGAGUGAAGCGGCAACAGCUCAAAUUUUAAAGCUGGCGUCUUCGACGUCCGCAUUGUAAUUUGGAGAGGCAUCUUCGGAUUGGGCGCCAGCCUAUGUUCCUUGGAACAGGACGUCACAGAGGGUGAGAAUCCCGUGCUUGGCUGGCUGUCCCAUUUCAUGUGAAGUGUCUUCGACGAGUCGAGUUGUUUGGGAAUGCAGCUCAAAAUGGGUGGUAAAUUUCAUCUAAAGCUAAAUAUUGGUGGGAGACCGAUAGCGCACAAGUAGAGUGAUCGAAAGAUGAAAAGCACUUUGAAAAUAGAGUUAAAAAGUACGUGAAAUUGUUGAAAGGGAAGCGCUUGAGACCAGACUCGGCUGGUGAUGAUCAGCUGUCCUUUUGGGCAGUGCACUUGUCGCCGGUUGGGCCAGCAUCGGUUGAGACGGCGGGAUAAAGGUUUUGGGAAUGUGGCUCCUCUCGGGGAGUGUUAUAGCCCAGAAUGCAAUGCCGCCAGCCUCGACCGAGGACCGCGCUUCGGCUAGGAUGCUGGCAUAAUGGUCUUCAGCGACCCGUCUUGAAACACGGACC
rnacentral:rRNA from 1 species